GAUGAACGCUGGCGGCGGUGCCUAACACAUGCAAGUCGAACGGACAUUUUUGGAAAGUUCGUUCGGAACUGGAAGUCUAAAUGUUAGUGGCGGACGGGUGAGUAACGCGUGAGCAAUCUGCCUUUCAGAGGGGGAUAACAGCCGGAAACGACUGCUAAUACCGCAUAAGCCCACAGCUCCGCAUGGAGCAGAGGGAAAAGGAGCGAUCCGCUUUGAGAUGGCCUCGCGUCCGAUUAGCUAGUUGGUGAGGUAACGGCCCACCAAGGCAACGAUCGGUAGCCGGACUGAGAGGUUGAUCGGCCACAUUGGGACUGAGACACGGCCCAG
rnacentral:rRNA from 1 species